rnacentral:rRNA from 1 species
GCCAAACAACUAGCUUAAACACACAAAUUACCCCAACAACAUCCAAAAAUUUUUCUAAACCAAAACCAUAAAACUAAAACAUUUUUCCGCCCUAGUAUGAGUGACAGAAAAGGCCCCACUAAGCUAUAAAAAGUACCGUAAGGGAAAGAUGAAAGAGAAAUGAAACAAACCAUUUAAGCCCAACAAAGUAGAGACUAACCCUCGUACCUUUUGCAUCAUGAUUUAGCCAGUCAUUCUGAGCAAAGAGCACUUUAGUUCACCACCCCGAAACUAGGUGAGCUACCCCGGGACAGCCUAUUAUAGGGCCAACCCGUCUCUGUGGCAAAAGAGUGGGAAGAUCUCCGGGUAGAGGUGACAGACCUACCGAACCUAGUUAUAGCUGGUUGCCUAAGAAAUGGAUAAAAGUUCAGCCUCGCACUCCCCAACUCCCAAAAAGACACCACUGACUUAAGAGCCCGAGAAACAUGCGAGAGUUAGUCAGAGGGGGUACAGCCCCUCUGAAAAGGGACACAACCCUACCAGGAGGUUAAAGAUUACACUAAACAAGAUAUCUGCCUUAGUGGGCCUAAAAGCAGCCAUCUAAACAGAAAGCGUUAAAGCUCAAGCAGACCUAAAUCUAUUAUCCAAAUAAUUUCAUCUAAAACCCCUAACCAUAUUAGGCCUUUCUAUGCAAACAUAGAAGUGACACUGCUAAAAUGAGUAAUAAGAAGGAUCCCCCUUCUCCUAGCCCAUGUGUAAGCUAGAUCGGACCUCCCACUAGCCAUUAACGAACCCAUCAAAAGAGGGCAAUACGAAUACAAAAACAACCAAGAAAAAACCGUAACCCAUCAUCGUUAACCCCACACUGGAGAGCACGCAAGGAAAGACUAAAAGGGAAGAAAGGAACUCGGCAAACACAAGCCUCGCCUGUUUACCAAAAACAUCGCCUCCCGCAAAAAUCAACGUAUAGGAGGUCUUGCCUGCCCAGUGACUGCAAGUUAAACGGCCGCGGUAUUUUGACCGUGCAAAGGUAGCGCAAUCACUUGUCUUUUAAAUGAAGACCUGUAUGAAUGGUGAAACGAGGGCUUAACUGUCUCCCUCCCCCAGUCAAUGAAAUUGAUCUACCCGUGCAGAAGCGGGUAUAACACUACAAGACGAGAAGACCCUUUGGAGCUUAAGAUAAAGCCCAACUAUGUUAAAAGCCCAAAAAAAGACUAAACCCAAUAGCCCUGGUCCCUAUCUUCGGUUGGGGCGACCACGGGAGAAAACAAAGCUCCCAUGCGGAUUGGGGAAACCCCCUAAAACUAAGAGAAACAUCUCUAAGACGCAGAACAUCUGACCAUACUGAUCCGGCCACACGCCGACCAACGAACCAAGUUACCCUAGGGAUAACAGCGCAAUCCCCUUUCAGAGUCCAUAUCGACAAGGGGGUUUACGACCUCGAUGUUGGAUCAGGACAUCCUAAUGGUGCAGCCGCUAUUAAGGGUUCGUUUGUUCAACGAUUAAAGUCCUACGUGAUCUGAGUUCAGACCGGAGCAAUCCAGGUCAGUUUCUAUCUGUAACGCUAUUUUUCCUAGUACGAAAGGACCGGAAAAAUGGGGCCCAUGUUACAAACACGCCCCUCCCUAACUUAGUGAAAACAACUAAACUAAAUAAAGGUAGAGCAUAACCACUCAACCAAGACAAGAGUU